CCUACGGGGUGCAGCAGUGAGGAAUAUUGGUCAAUGGACGAGAGUCUGAACCAGCCAAGUAGCGUGAAGGAUGACUGCCCUAUGGGUUGUAAACUUCUUUUAUAUGGGAAUAAAAUGCUGCACGUGUGGGAUUUUGUAUGUACCAUAUGAAUAAGGAUCGGCUAACUCCGUGCCAGCAGCCGCGGUAAUACGGAGGAUCCGAGCGUUAUCCGGAUUUAUUGGGUUUAAAGGGAGCGUAGGUGGAGUGUUAAGUCAGUUGUGAAAGUUUGCGGCUCAACCGUAAAAUUGCAGUUGAUACUGGCAGGCUGGAGUACAGUAGAGGUGGGCGGAAUGCGGGGUGUAGCGGUG
rnacentral:rRNA from 1 species